UAGGGAAUCUUCGGCAAUGGACGAAAGUCUGACCGAGCAACGCCGCGUGAGUGAAGAAGGUUUUCGGAUCGUAAAACUCUGUUGUUAGAGAAGAACAAGGACGUUAGUAACUGAACGUCCCCUGACGGUAUCUAACCAGAAAGCCACGGCUAACUACGUGCCAGCAGCCGCGGUAAUACGUAGGUGGCAAGCGUUGUCCGGAUUUAUUGGGCGUAAAGCGAGCGCAGGCGGUUUCUUAAGUCUGAUGUGAAAGCCCCCGGCUCAACCGGGGAGGGUCAUUGGAAACUGGGAGACUUGAGUGCAGAAGAGGAGAGUGGAAUUCCAUGUGUAGCGGUGAAAUGCGUAGAUAUAUGGAGGAACGCCAGUGGCGAAGGCGGCUCGCUGGUCUGUAACUGACGCUGAGGGUCGAAAGCGUGGGGAGCAAACAGG
rnacentral:rRNA from 1 species